rnacentral:rRNA from 1 species
GGGCAACCCUGAGCCAGCCAUGCCGCGUGAGUGAAGAAGGCCUUCGGGUUGUAAAGCUCUUUCGGACGGAAAGAAAUCGCCGCCUCUAACAUAGGCGGUGGAUGACGGUACCGUAAGAAGAAGCACCGGCUAACUACGUGCCAGCAGCCGCGGUAAUACGUAGGGUGCGAGCGUUAAUCGGAAUUUCUGGGCGUAAAGCGGGCGCAGGCGGUUUGGUAAGACAGGUGUGAAAUCCUGGGGCUCAACCUCAGAACUGCCCUUGAUACGGGCGAUCUCGAGUUCGAGAGAGGUUGGUGGAACUCCGAGUGUAGAGGUGAAAUUCGUAGAUAUUCGGAAGAACACCAGUGGCGAAGGCGGCCAACUGGCUCGAUACUGACGCUGAGGUGCGAAAGCGUGGGGAGCAAACA